CCUACGGGAGGCAGCAGUGGGGAAUAUUGGGCAAUGGGCGCAAGCCUGAACCAGCCACGCCGCGUGAAGGAAGAAUGCUUUCGGGUUGGAAACUUCUUUUGACAGGGAAGUAUAGUGGACGGUACCUGUCGAAUAAUCCACGGCUAACUACGUGCCAGCAGCCGCGGUAAUACGUAGGGGGCAAGCGUUAUCCGGAUUUAGUGGGUGUAAAGGGAGUGUAGACGGGUUGACAAGUCAGAUGUGAAAUUCUGCGGCUUAACCGGAGAAUUGCAAUUGAAACUGGUGAUCUUGAGUACAGGGGAGGCAGGCGGAAUUCCUAGUGUAGCGGUGAAAUGCGUAGAUAUUAGGAGGAACACCGGUGGCGAAGGCGGUCUACUGGACAGCCACUGACAGUGAGGCGCGAAAGUGUGGGGAGCAAACAGGAUUAGAUACCCUUGUAGUC
rnacentral:rRNA from 1 species